GGGUGUCGGACGGUGGGCAGGGCCUCCUGGGAUCCCUGAGGCGCCGGCAGGAGGAGACGCCCUGGGGUCGGUGCCUCCCCCUUCCCGUCCGGGCGGUUACAGCUUUCCCGUGUUCGCUGUCGGAGGCAGGGACCGGCGACCUCGGGGGCCUGGUCCCUGAGCCACAGCGGGGAGUCGUCCGAGCAUCUCGGGAUGAGGAAGAUCAAGUUGAAUCAAAAAAGAGGAAAGAAAGCCCAUCGCGUGUGACAGACAAGAAAGUGCUACCGUUAAAAGGCAAACAGUUCUAGAGUGUGCAAACAUUUGCAGUCCCUCUGCUGAUGAUCCUGGGUUUGGUUUGGCUGGGCUUGAGCAAAUGAGAAGGAACCAGGACGGUGCUCCAGCUUUCUGGGGAUCCUCCUCCAGCAUCGCCAAAGCCUGGACCGGGCGCAUCCACUUAACUCACGGGGCAGGCUCCCAGUUUUUGAAGGAUCUUCACACCGCCUCCAGCAGCAGCCGCCUUAUAGACACUGCUUAGCCCGGUCCUGCACUUGCUCAGGUCCGGUCUCUGUAACAGAACACACGCGCAUCUCGUGAUGGUGCUUCUCUGAUGGAGCCUUAGCCGAUGCGCAGAAGUAGACAACUGUGUUGGGGCGGAGGAGGUGCCCUGAACUCCAGCUCAGCCCUCCUCCUCCCAAGCCCUUCCAUCCUGGGAUCAACAGGAGCCUGUGACUGACUACAGCAGGAGAGCAGGCGUGGCAUGGAUCCCGUGCAAGCCGGCAGUGGAGACCCAGCGCCUGAGAGUGACGUGGGGAACUAGCAGGAGCUAGAAGUGACUUAGGACGAGCUUUUGUAAAGCGGAGGUGUGAGUGUAAUAUCAGGAUGAUUUGACUGCAAGCAACAGAGAAUCAAACAGAAAUGGCCUAGGGAGUCCCUUUGUGGCUCCCCAGUUAACAAUCUGACUGGAUCAUGAGGAUGCAGGUUCAAUCCCUGGCCUCUAUCAGUGGGCGAAGGAUCUAGUGCUACCAUGAGCUGUGCUGUGGUGUAGGCUGGCGGCCGCAGCUCCAGUUGGACCGCUAGCCCGGGAACUUCCAUAUGCUGUGGGUGCAGCCCUAAAAAGCAAAAACAAACAAAAAAAUGAAACAAAACAAAACAAAAAAUCCACAAAAAAAAAUCAGAAAUGGCCUAAACAAAGAAGAAAACGUGUUAUCCCAUACUACAAGAAGUUUGGGGGUUGAGUGGUUAAACGCAUGAUUAGUUUAGAAACUUGACAGCACCACCCAGGACCCAUUUUCCCUAAGGCGCUGCUGCCCCCCACCCUGUAGGCUUAGCCACCGAAGCAAAGACACCCCCCUUCCCCAACCAGAGCCCUGCGUCAGGACUGGAAGGGGCCUCCUUCCCUCCAUCCCCUUCCAGAACCUCGGCAGAAGACUCCCCUUGACGUCUCAUUCCAUCCCAUACUGGUCACUUUGCAGGGGAACGGAUUUACCAUGGUGGCCAGAGACAAUUAAGUCGCCCCCAUCUCUGGAGAACACUUGACCACUCAGUACCCAGCAACUCGGGUACCCCUGGCAAGAAAGAGACAGGUGAUACCCACUGGGUCCUGUCCACAGCGCCUGCCCCCAGCAACCUGUCUACCUGGAAAACUGAGGGGGUGCCACGCGGGUCUGUGUCUUCUCUGUAGUUUGCCCGAGUCUUUCCCAUUAGGUAAGUGUCGCCCUUUUCCCUCUUUGCGGCUUUCCUCCUUGGCACGUCACCCAGGUUUUGUUCAGCCACAAGGGGCGAUAGGCUGAAAGAGGAAUCUCCAGGCCUGGGUGAUGGGCCAGCCGUGGUGAUCCUCACCCGUUUGCCUGGGCACCGUUUGGGAAACGUCCCCCUGCUCACCACGGAGAUGAAAGACCAGGUCCCUGGAGGGGCUUCGCGGAAGGAUUUUUCACCCCAGUAAAGCGGAAGACAAGCCAGGGGUGUCCUGCCCUACGCGCCGUCUGCCUCUGAGCCGCCGCCAGCUCACACCCUUGAGCAGAAACGUUGCAGGGAGGCAGAAAGCGCUGAGUCUCAUGGAUCGUGCUGAGCGUUGCAUCCACCCAGGACUGCUUACCUUCAGACUUCUGCUCCGGUGGCAGAGCAGCAAACCCCUAUUGUCUUCAAGAGGCAGAAGACAUGGCCCUUGGGCUGCCUGAGAUGCACUGUUUCAUAGGAGGCCCCGUCACUGAAGCUGGGACUACCUCCGCCACCAAAGGCUCCCCAUGGAAAACUGAAUUAGAAAUUAUCUUGACCCCCCAUGGACAUCAAAGAAAAAUUCCCGAUUGAAACUGCGUUCUGAGUAAAGGAAAAAAAUGGCUCUUAUCCUAGACACUGUUGAUCCCCACUGACCUUCAGCGGCCCACCUGCUUCUCGGUCUUUGUUUCUGUCUCCAUGUCCUCUAAGGGCCUAACCCUCUCUCUCCAUGCUCAGUGCUGUUCUUGGGAUGCAACCAAUUCCUUCACUGAUGAGAUGAAAAACUGAAGGCGUGUCUGUAACACUUCUUUUCCCAGACACCCCACACCCAGUCUCCACUCUGGAUUUUGCCACAUCCCCACUCUCCUUCCAAACGAUAACACCUGUUCUUUCCCCGAUCGAACGCUGCGGGCCCCUCUUUCCUUCCGUCUCUGUCAAGGCGGGAGGAGCAGGGCCUUUUCCUUGGAAGCCCUCCGCUGUCUGUUCCCUCUGGAAGGACUAGCAGCCUCCAUCCUGGUCCGCGUGUAGCUGUCUCUAGGGAUGAAAAUGGUUUUCAGAGUCAGAGGCAUGUUUGAGUCUCUGCUAUUCUGUAGGCACAUUGCCUACAUUCUCUUAACCCAUUUGGCGGGUGUGGAAAUGAAAGCCUGGAGAGAUUAAGUGAUUUACCACUGGUUCCAUAAAUGACAGGGCUGGGAUCAGAGCUGGGGUCUGUCUGGCCCCAGGGAUCAUGGUCUAAACCUGCCUGAAUCCCUUAAUUUGAUUCUUAAUCUCUUAAUCCUUAAUCAUACCUUCUUCAGGAUAGCCAGAUAAGAUAAGAGACACAAGAUAGUUGUGUCUCUUACUCAGGCAUCCACCCCACUCUGUGUGUAUUUUUAUUUUAGCGUGAGCCGCAAUGUACUGAAAUUAAUAUCUCCCAAUCAGAUCGCUAUGCCUCUGGGGCCCAGGGCAGUGCCUGGUGUACAGACUGAUGCAGUAUUUCUUCUGCGGCUGUUUAUUUGCCCAUCGUGGCUACUCAGGCCCUUCCUUAGUCCCACUGAUGGAGAAACUGGGAUGGAAACUAAUCAGUGCAGUACUGGACAAGCAAAGGUAGCAUCGGGUUGGGAUUUGGGGGCAGUUAGGCAGUUACAGACUGUUUAGACCCUAAAAUCUGCCUGAUUGAUCCUAGUCUGAGACACUAGGUCUCGUUUGAAUCUCCAAGCCUAGGGAAGCACCUUAUCUCCAUGAACAUAGCCCUAGAACACCAAUUCACAAAUGGAUUGAAAGGUGGGUGCCCCGGACUGAAUGUUUCCUGUGCCCACCUCCCCAAGUUCUUAUGUUGAAUUCCUACGGCCCAAUGUGAUGACAUUAGUAUGUGUGGCCUCUGGAGGUGCUGAGGUCGCGAGGGUGCAGCCCAUGUGAAUGGGGUUAGUGCCUUUUCAGGAGACCCCAUAGACCUUAUCGAGAGACUCCCUUGCCUCUUCCACCUAGUGAACUCGGGGGCGGGGGGCGGAGGCGGGGAGAGACACACACUGUGAACCAGGAAGAGGGCCCUCACCCGCCCGUACCCACGCCUUGAUCUUGGACCCCUCUGGAACCGUGAGAAAGAAAUGCCUGUGGUUAGUAAGCUGCCCGGUCAGCGGCAUUUCGUCACAGCAGCCGGAAUCGACAGUCAGCAAGAAUGCAGUUUAAUCUUUGUCCGCCUCAAUGCGAUAAAUUUAGAAGCUGACUUUUGUUUGUUUUGAAACAUGUAAAGUAAAGCUUGGGACAUUACUGAAUCCAGAUUAAGUAGAAAAUCAAAAUACAUUCUGCCAAAAUCCCAACUCCACUAGAACCUUUUUCUCAAAUCCAUAGAGGUACAUGUUUAUGGAAAUGGUUAAUAAGUGCUUAUGAUGAAAAUGCCACGUCCUAUCUCAGUCCUACUACUUGCUUUCAAUCCUCUUAUUAUUUGUUCUGGUAUAUGUUUCUAAAUAUAUCAUUAUCCUGCUAUG
rnacentral:lncRNA from 1 species